GACGAACGCUGGCGGCGUGCCUAAUACAUGCAAGUCGAACGAGAGCGACUGGUGCUUGCACUGGUCAAUCUAGUGGCGAACGGGUGAGUAACACGUGGGUAACCUGCCCAUCAGAGGGGGAUAACAUCCGGAAACGGAUGCUAAAACCGCAUAGGUCUUCGAGCCGCAUGGCUUGAAGAGGAAAAGAGGCGCAAGCUUCAGCUGAUGGAUGGACCCGCGGUGCGUUAGCUAGUUGGUGAGGUAACGGCUCACCAAGGCCGUGAUGCAUAGCCGACCUGAGAGGGUGAUCGGCCACAUUGGGACUGGGACGCGGCCCAAACUCCUACGGGAGGCAGCAGUAGGGAAUCUUCCGCAAUGGACGCAAGUCUGACGGAGCAACGCCGCGUGAGUGAAGAAGGUUUUCGGAUCGUAAAACUCUGUUGUUAGAGAAGAACAAGUGCUAGAGUAACUGUUAGCGCCUUGACGGUAUCUAACCAGAAAGCCACGGCUAACUACGUGCCAGCAGCCGCUGUAA
rnacentral:rRNA from 1 species